ACAAGCGGUGGAUGAUGUGGUUUAAUUCGAUGCAACGCGAAAACCUUACCCACCUUUGACAUGUACGGAAUCCUUUAGAGAUAGAGGAGUGCUCGAAAGAGAGCCGUAACACAGGUGCUGCAUGGCUGUCGUCAGCUCGUGUCGUGAGAUGUUGGGUUAAGUCCCGCAACGAGCGCAACCCUUGUCAUUAGUUGCUACAUUCAGUUGGGCACUCUAAUGAGACUGCCGGUGACAAGCCGGAGGAAGUGGGGAUGACGUCAAGUCCUCAUGGCCCUUAUAGGUGGGGCUACACACGUCAUACAAUGGCCGAUACAAAGGGCAGCGACACUGCGAGGUGAAGCCAAUCCCGUAAAAUCGGUCUCAGUCCGGAUUGGAGUCUGCAACUCGACUCCAUGAAGUUGGAAUCGCUAGUAAUCGUGGAUCAGCAUGCCACGGUGAAUACGUUCCCGGGCCUU
rnacentral:rRNA from 1 species